rnacentral:sRNA from 1 species
UUGAUAACCCUGGAGACUGAAGUCCUGAGUUUAUCCACAAAACAGGAGCUGCAUGUGCAACGAUGGUGCAAGUUUUCCUCACCCUGUCCUAUUGAUGCACCUCAACUCUAAGCUAUAGGACCUGUCUCUAGGGAGACAGACUUAGUUCACUGGAGCCCUUAUGUGUGAUUCAGCUGCAGGAUUUG